rnacentral:rRNA from 1 species
GACGAACGCUGGCGGCGUGCCUAACACAUGCAAGUGGAGCGACGAACCAGGCUUCGGCCUGGGGCAAAGCCGCGAACGGGUGAGUAACACGUGGGUAACCUGCCCCGAUGACCGGGACAACCCGAGGAAACUCGGGCUAAUACCGGAUGUGCUCUCCACACUCAAGUGUGGCGAGCAAAGGAAGCUUCGGCCUCCGCAUCGGGAGGGGCCCGCGGCCCAUUAGCUAGUUGGUGAGGUAACGGCUCACCAAGGCGACGAUGGGUAGCUGGUCUGAGAGGACGAUCAGCCACACUGGGACUGAGACACGGCCCAGACUCCUACGGGAGGCAGCAGUGGGGAAUCUUGCGCAAUGGGCGAAAGCCUGACGCAGCGACGCCGCGUGCGGGAAGAAGGCCUUCGGGUUGUAAACCGCUUUCAGGAGGGACGAAGCCACUCGGGUUAAUAGCCCAGAGGGUGACGGUACCUCCAGAAGAAGCCCCGGCUAACUACGUGCCAGCCGCCGCCGUAAUAC